rnacentral:rRNA from 1 species
GGUUAAGCGACUAAGCGUACACGGUGGAUGCCCUGGCAGUCAGAGGCGAUGAAGGACGUGCUAAUCUGCGAAAAGCGUCGGUAAGGUGAUAUGAACCGUUAUAACCGGCGAUGUCCGAAUGGGGAAACCCAGUGCAAUUCGUUGCACUAUCGUUAACUGAAUACAUAGGUUAACGAGGCGAACCGGGGGAACUGAAACAUCUAAGUACCCCGAGGAAAAGAAAUCAACCGAGAUUCCCCCAGUAGCGGCGAGCGAACGGGGAGCAGCCCAGAGUCUGAAUCAGCUUGUGUGUUAGUGGAACGGUCUGGAAAGUCCGACGGUACAGGGUGAUAGUCCCGUACACCAAAAUGCACAGGUUGUGAACUCGAAGAGUAGGGCGGGACACGUGGUAUCCUGUCUGAAUAUGGGGGGACCAUCCUCCAAGGCUAAAUACUCCUGACUGACCGAUAGUGAACCAGUACCGUGAGGGAAAGGCGAAAAGAACCCCGGCGAGGGGAGUGAAAAAGAACCUGAAACCGUGUACGUACAAGCAGUGGGAGCACCUUCGGGUGUGACUGCGUACCUUUUGUAUAAUGGGUCAGCGACUUAUAUUCUGUAGCAAGGUUAACCGUAUAGGGGAGCCGCAGGGAAACCGAGUCUUAACUGGGCGUUAAGUUGCAGGGUAUAGACCCGAAACCCGGUGAUCUAGCCAUGGGCAGGUUGAAGGUUGGGUAACACUAACUGGAGGACCGAACCGACUAAUGUUGAAAAAUUAGCGGAUGACUUGUGGCUGGGGGUGAAAGGCCAAUCAAACCGGGAGAUAGCUGGUUCUCCCCGAAAGCUAUUUAGGUAGCGCCUCGUGAACUCAUCUUCGGGGGUAGAGCACUGUUUCGGCUAGGGGGUCAUCCCGACUUACCAACCCGAUGCAAACUACGAAUACCGAAGAAUGUUAUCACGGGAGACACACGGCGGGUGCUAACGUCCGUCGUGAAGAGGGAAACAACCCAGACCGCCAGCUAAGGUCCCAAAGUCAUGGUUAAGUGGGAAACGAUGUGGGAAGGCACAGACAGCCAGGAUGUUGGCUUAGAAGCAGCCAUCAUUUAAAGAAAGCGUAAUAGCUCACUGGUCGAGUCGGCCUGCGCGGAAGAUGUAACGGGGCUAAACCAUGCACCGAAGCUGCGGCAGCGACACUAUGUGUUGUUGGGUAGGGGAGCGUUCUGUAAGCCUGCGAAGGUGUGCUGUGAGGCAUGCUGGAGGUAUCAGAAGUGCGAAUGCUGACAUAAGUAACGAUAAAGCGGGUGAAAAGCCCGCUCGCCGGAAGACCAAGGGUUCCUGUCCAACGUUAAUCGGGGCAGGGUGAGUCGACCCCUAAGGCGAGGCCGAAAGGCGUAGUCGAUGGGAAACAGGUUAAUAUUCCUGUACUUGGUGUUACUGCGAAGGGGGGACGGAGAAGGCUAUGUUAGCCGGGCGACGGUUGUCCCGGUUUAAGCAUGUAGGCUGGUUAUCCAGGCAAAUCCGGAUAAUCAAGGCUGAGGUGUGAUGACGAGGCACUACGGUGCUGAAGUAACAAAUGCCCUGCUUCCAGGAAAAGCCUCUAAGCAUCAGGUAACAUUAAAUCGUACCCCAAACCGACACAGGUGGUCAGGUAGAGAAUACCAAGGCGCUUGAGAGAACUCGGGUGAAGGAACUAGGCAAAAUGGUGCCGUAACUUCGGGAGAAGGCACGCUGGUGUGUAGGUGAAGUCCCUGCGGAUGGAGCUGAGACCAGUCGAAGAUACCAGCUGGCUGCAACUGUUUAUUAAAAACACAGCACUGUGCAAACACGAAAGUGGACGUAUACGGUGUGACGCCUGCCCGGUGCCGGAAGGUUAAUUGAUGGGGUUAUCCGUAAGGAGAAGCUCUUGAUCGAAGCCCCGGUAAACGGCGGCCGUAACUAUAACGGUCCUAAGGUAGCGAAAUUCCUUGUCGGGUAAGUUCCGACCUGCACGAAUGGCGUAAUGAUGGCCAGGCUGUCUCCACCCGAGACUCAGUGAAAUUGAACUCGCUGUGAAGAUGCAGUGUACCCGCGGCAAGACGGAAAGACCCCGUGAACCUUUACUAUAGCUUGACACUGAACAUUGAGCCUUGAUGUGUAGGAUAGGUGGGAGGCUUUGAAGCGUGGACGCCAGUCUGCGUGGAGCCAACCUUGAAAUACCACCCUUUAAUGUUUGAUGUUCUAACGUUGGCCCCUGACCGGGGUUGCGGACAGUGUCUGGUGGGUAGUUUGACUGGGGCGGUCUCCUCCCAAAGCGUAACGGAGGAGCACGAAGGUUAGCUAAUCCUGGUCGGACAUCAGGAGGUUAGUGCAAUGGCAUAAGCUAGCUUGACUGCGAGCGUGACGGCGCGAGCAGGUGCGAAAGCAGGUCAUAGUGAUCCGGUGGUUCUGAAUGGAAGGGCCAUCGCUCAACGGAUAAAAGGUACUCCGGGGAUAACAGGCUGAUACCGCCCAAGAGUUCAUAUCGACGGCGGUGUUUGGCACCUCGAUGUCGGCUCAUCACAUCCUGGGGCUGAAGUAGGUCCCAAGGGUAUGGCUGUUCGCCAUUUAAAGUGGUACGCGAGCUGGGUUUAGAACGUCGUGAGACAGUUCGGUCCCUAUCUGCCGUGGGCGCUGGAGAAUUGAGGGGGGCUGCUCCUAGUACGAGAGGACCGGAGUGGACGCAUCACUGGUGUUCGGGUUGUCAUGCCAAUGGCACUGCCCGGUAGCUAAAUGCGGAAGAGAUAAGUGCUGAAAGCAUCUAAGCACGAAACUUGCCCCGAGAUGAGUUCUCCCUGAGACU